ACCAUCUGCAGUGAUUUUGGAGCCCAAGGAAAUAAAGUCUGUCUCUGUUUGCGUUGUUUCCCCAUCCAUCUAUCUGCCAUGCAAUGAUGGGACCAGAUGCCAUGAUCUUAGUUUUCUUGAAUGUUGAAUUUUAAGCCAACUUUUUCACUCUCCUCUUUCCCCUUAAUCAAGAGGUUCUUUAGUUCUUCUUCACUCUCUGCCAUGAGGUGUCAUCUGCAUAUCUGAGGUUAUUGAUAUUUCUACCCUCACAGUCCAGAAAAACAGGUUUAGAGGCCCAGCCGCACAUUCCUGCCACGCAAGUCAUAUGUUUCUGCCUCAGCAAUUGCAGAAAGGGGAUUUUCCCCUCUCUCUGCCUUCAAUCAUGUCCCUAAGCCCCUGAGUUCCUUGCUGAAUUAAAGGCAUUUAUCUUGCCUUUUACCCACAGACAGCUGAGAAUCAAAACGAGGAAUCCUAAAGGCAAGAAUGUCUUUAACACAAUUAAAACAUCUAUUUUUCUUGGCCAAAAUGAGAAGAUUUCUGCCCUUUGCUUCAAAAUAAUCCAGCUGGGGAGAGGUAGGUGAUAUGGUGGGAAGUGGGCAGAAAAGACACUAAACCAGGUUGGCCAUGAGUCAGGGAAGUGUUGAAGGUGAGUACUGGGGACGUGAGAGCUCUUCAGAGAAUUCUACUCUGAUUUUCUAUACAUUUGAAGUCCUCCUGAAAAAAAAGUACAUAUUCACAUACACACACACAAUCCCCAUCCCAGUCAGCACGAGGCGAAGGUAAACCAAACUGGAAUUGUCUGUCAGAAGGAAAGAAGUAACUUGAUGGCAUUGUGUAUAUGGAGGCAUUCUGAUAGGAGACGUGGCCACUUGCUUUCUGCCACUGAUGCCAUCAACUGAAGAAGAGCAACUUAACCAAUAUUAAAAGACUAUUUUAAAACCCUAAUCCUGAAGGCUGUUAAACACUGAGAUAAAUCACAGGAGAAGAUAGCUAAGGAAAUGCUUUCACUGAAAACAGAACGUGAAACUGAGUUAUUCAUAUUGACAGUGAAGAAGGAAAACACGAAUGCUUGUUAGUUGCCCAGAUUUACUCUGGGGCCAAACAAGGCAGUCUGAACUUGGACAGCCAUGAUGGCUAGACCGAAAGCAAGCAGGUAGAAUGUGUUGGACAGUGGUGUGUAUCCAUGCCACAGGCCUGAACCGCAUUCCUUUGUCUAUCGUUAGGACUAGCUAUUAGCAAGUCCAGCAAUUACGCUUCCCUUGUCAGCUAAAACCACAGCCCCUCUCUGCAAAGUUUCAGUGGUGACCCGCCCUCAGAAUGGCCCCCAAGGAUCCUUACCGCUGGUACUCACACCUCUGUGUAGACGCUGCCCACA
rnacentral:lncRNA from 1 species